rnacentral:rRNA from 1 species
UACAGAGGUCCCAAGCGUUGUUCGGAUUCACUGGGCGUAAAGGGCGCGUAGGUGGCGGCCCAAGUCCAUGGUGAAAGCUCGAUGCUCAACAUCGAGUCGGCCACGGAUACUGGGUUGCUCGAGCACUGUAGGGGCAGAUGGAAUUCCGGGUGUAGCGGUGGAAUGCGUAGAGAUCCGGAAGAACACCGGUGGCGAAGGCGGUCUGCUGGGCAGUUGCUGACACUGAGGCGCGACAGCGUGGGGAG